rnacentral:rRNA from 1 species
CAGCAGCCACGGGAAAACGGAGGGGGCUAGCGUUGUUCGGAAUUACUGGGCGUAAAGCGCACGUAGGCGGCUUUGUAAGUCAGAGGUGAAAGCCCGGGGCUCAACCCCGGAAUUGCCUUUGAGACUGCAUCGCUUGAAUCCAGGAGAGGUGAGUGGAAUUCCGAGUGUAGAGGUGAAAUUCGUAGAUAUUCGGAAGAACACCAGUGGCGAAGGCGGCUCACUGGACUGGUAUUGACGCUGAGGUGCGAAAGCGUGGGGAGCAGACAGGAUUAGAUACCCGCGUAGUCCCUGUCUCUUAUAC